CCUACGGGGGGCGCNGCCAGUAGGGAAUCUUCCGCAAUGGACGAAAGUCUGACGGAGCAACGCCGCGUGAGUGAUGAAGGUUUUCGGAUCGUAAAGCUCUGUUGUUAGGGAAGAACAAGUGCGAGAGUAACUGCUCGCACCUUGACGGUACCUAACCAGAAAGCCACGGCUAACUACGUGCCAGCAGCCGCGGUAAUACGUAGGUGGCAAGCGUUGUCCGGAAUUAUUGGGCGUAAAGGGCUCGCAGGCGGUUUCUUAAGUCUGAUGUGAAAGCCCCCGGCUCAACCGGGGAGGGUCAUUGGAAACUGGGAAACUUGAGUGCAGAAGAGGAGAGUGGAAUUCCACGUGUAGCGGUGAAAUGCGUAGAGAUGUGGAGGAACACCAGUGGCGAAGGCGACUCUCUGGUCUGUAACUGACGCUGAGGAGCGAAAGCGUGGGGAGCGAACAGGAUUAGAUACCCCUGGUAGUCA
rnacentral:rRNA from 1 species